rnacentral:misc_RNA from 1 species
GCCGCCCCUCGGGUCCGCGAAGUCCCGGUCGAGGGUCUCCUGCAGCGCGAGGGCAUGGUGGAAAUAUCGCGGCUCGAAGGUCGCCUCGUACAGGUCCAACAGC